ensembl:lncRNA
UGGGCCAGGAAGAUACCCUGGAGGAGAUCAUGGCAACCCACUCCAGUAUUCUUGCCUGGAGAAUCCCCAUGGACAGAGGAGCCUGGAAGGCUAUAGUCCAUAGGGUCAUAGAGAGUUGGACAUGACCAAAGUGACUUAGCACGCAUGCAGGUCCAGUUCAGAGAUGGAGGCAGGAGGAGGAACUCAAUUACUAUUUGUUUUCUCUACAUCAAGCGAGAUGGCAUUUGAUGAUAAGUGUGAAAUACACUGAGCCUUCGAAAUGCCAGUGCAUGUGGAGUUCUGUCUCUGCAGCUCUUAACUGUGCCUCUAGACAUCUUUCCUGACUGUUGUUCACCUGGAAGGUGUCCUUGCCAAAUGGGACUACAUUUGCUUUCUACACCUUCUUCCUCUGCCAAACAAGGACGCAGCUGCAAUCAAUAACAGACUGCUUCCAACUUCUGAUGCGAUGCAGGCUUCCAGAUGACAAGGGGCUUCAAAACCAAGCACCAUGAAGAAUAUUUAGAGCCCUUUAGUGGAGGAGAAAGCCUGUGUGCUGCUCAACAAUCAGAGACCUCCUAUCUCUUCCAACUCUUUCUCUGGCUGCAUUCCAGGAUCAUGGCUACACCUGGAGCCAAGGGCAGCUGGGAGAAGCGGCAGAGAACCGCAAACAGGAGCCUAUGCCAUCAGUGGGAUGCUUAGAAAAAUCACCUUGACUGCUGCUUCAGAGGAUCCUAUCCCUUUUGGGAUCUUCCCAACCCAGGGAUCGAACCUGCAUCUCCUGCUUAGCAGGCAGAUACUUUACCACUGAGCCACCUGGCUCUGACAAUUUAAAGCUAAUUCAAGUUUUCCUGGUGAAGCGAUCAUGUUGUUUGUGCAGCAGUCUUGAGAUCCCAGAGAAGACCAUCAGAUAAAUCCAUAUUAACGGACAUUCUGAAAAAUAUCUGCUCACAACUCCUCAAAAACUGUCAAGGUCAUCAAAAACAAGGGAAGUCUGAGAAACUGUCAUAGUCUAGAAGAGCCUUAGGAGACGUGAUAACUAAAUGAAAUGUGGUAUUUGGGGUGGGAUGCUGAGACAGAAAAAAGAUAUUAGGCAAACACUCAAGAAAUAAAAAUAAGUUAUGAAAAAUC